GACGAAGGGGCUAGCGUUGUUCGGAAUUACUGGGCGUAAAGCGAGUGUAGGUGGUUGUCAUAGUCAGGCGUGAAAGCCUUGAGCUCAACUCAAGAAUGCGCUUGAUACUGGGCAGCUAGAGGACCGGAGAGGAUAGUGGAAUUCCAGUGUAGUGGUGAAAUACGUAGAGAUUGGGAAGAACACCAGUGGCGAAGGCGGCUAUCUGGACCGCAACUGACGCAUGAGG
rnacentral:rRNA from 1 species